rnacentral:rRNA from 1 species
AGUGAACGCUGGCGGUAGGCCUAACACAUGCAAGUCGAACGGCAGCACAGUAAGAGCUUGCUCUUACGGGUGGCGAGUGGCGGACGGGUGAGGAAUACAUCGGAAUCUACUUUUUCGUGGGGGAUAACGUAGGGAAACUUACGCUAAUACCGCAUACGACCUACGGGUGAAAGCAGGGGAUCUUCGGACCUUGCGCGAUUGAAUGAGCCGAUGUCGGAUUAGCUAGUUGGCGGGGUAAAGGCCCACCAUGGCGACGAUCCGUAGCUGGUCUGAGAGGAUGAUCAGCCACACUGGAACUGAGACACGGUCCAGACUCCUACGGGAGGCAGCAGUGGGGAAUAUUGGACAAUGGGCGCAAGCCUGAUCCAGCCAUACCGCGUGGGUGAAGAAGGCCUUCGGGUUGUAAAGCCCUUUUGUUGGGAAAGAAAAGCAGCAGGUUAAGACCCCGCUGUUCUGACGGUACCCAAAGAAUAAGCACCGGCUAACUUCGU